UCCAGAGUUUGAUCCUGGCUCAGAUUGAACGCUGGCGGCAGGCCUAACACAUGCAAGUCGAGCGGUAGCACAGAGAGCUUGCUCUCGGGUGACGAGCGGCGGACGGGUGAGUAAUGUCUGGGAAACUGCCUGAUGGAGGGGGAUAACUACUGGAAACGGUAGCUAAUACCGCAUAACGUCGCAAGACCAAAGUGGGGGACCUUCGGGCCUCAUGCCAUCAGAUGUGCCCAGAUGGGAUUAGCUAGUAGGUGGGGUAACGGCUCACCUAGGCGACGAUCCCUAGCUGGUCUGAGAGGAUGACCAGCCACACUGGAACUGAGACACGGUCCAGACUCCUACGGGAGGCAGCAGUGGGGAAUAUUGCACAAUGGGCGCAAGCCUGAUGCAGCCAUGCCGCGUGUGUGAAGAAGGCCUUCGGGUUGUAAAGCACUUUCAGCGGGGAGGAAGGCGGUGAGGUUAAUAACCUCAUCGAUUGACGUUACCCGCAGAAGAAGCACCGGCUAACUCCGUGCCAGCAGCCGCGGUAAUACGGAGGGUGCAAGCGUUAAUCGGAAUUACUGGGCGUAAAGCGCACGCAGGCGGUCUGUCAAGUCGGAUGUGAAAUCCCCGGGCUCAACCUGGGAACUGCAUUCGAAACUGGCAGGCUAGAGUCUUGUAGAGGGGGGUAGAAUUCCAGGUGUAGCGGUGAAAUGCGUAGAGAUCUGGAGGAAUACCGGUGGCGAAGGCGGCCCCCUGGACAAAGACUGACGCUCAGGUGCGAAAGCGUGGGGAGCAAACAGGAUUAGAUACCCUGGUAGUCCACGCCGUAAACGAUGUCGAUUUGGAGGUUGUGCCCUUGAGGCGUGGCUUCCGGAGCUAACGCGUUAAAUCGACCGCCUGGGGAGUACGGCCGCAAGGUUAAAACUCAAAUGAAUUGACGGGGGCCCGCACAAGCGGUGGAGCAUGUGGUUUAAUUCGAUGCAACGCGAAGAACCUUACCUGGUCUUGACAUCCACAGAACUUUCCAGAGAUGGAUUGGUGCCUUCGGGAACUGUGAGACAGGUGCUGCAUGGCUGUCGUCAGCUCGUGUUGUGAAAUGUUGGGUUAAGUCCCGCAACGAGCGCAACCCUUAUCCUUUGUUGCCAGCGGUUCGGCCGGGAACUCAAAGGAGACUGCCAGUGAUAAACUGGAGGAAGGUGGGGAUGACGUCAAGUCAUCAUGGCCCUUACGACCAGGGCUACACACGUGCUACAAUGGCAUAUACAAAGAGAAGCGACCUCGCGAGAGCAAGCGGACCUCAUAAAGUAUGUCGUAGUCCGGAUUGGAGUCUGCAACUCGACUCCAUGAAGUCGGAAUCGCUAGUAAUCGUAGAUCAGAAUGCUACGGUGAAUACGUUCCCGGGCCUUGUACACACCGCCCGUCACACCAUGGGAGUGGGUUGCAAAAGAAGUAGGUAGCUUAACCUUCGGGAGGGCGCUUACCACUUUGUGAUUCAUGACUGGGGUGAAGUCGUAACAAGGUAACCGUAGGGGAACCUGCGGCUGGAACACCUCCUU
rnacentral:rRNA from 1 species